GGAAUGGUUCACAAGCAAUAAGUGGCAAUGACCCCUGAAAGGUCCCAACCACUGUAUUUACAGAUCUGGCUUACAUCAGACCUCACCUUGACCUGGCAAUGUGAACUUCUAAAGUGCUUCUGGCUUCUUUUAUUAUUUUGCAAAUGCAAUU